rnacentral:rRNA from 1 species
UUCCGUAGGUGAACCUGCGGAAGGAUCAUUAAUGAACUUUGAACGCUUGUGGCUUCAGGCUGUUGCUGACGGGACCUUCACGGGUUUCGUACGUGCACGUCUGA